rnacentral:rRNA from 1 species
UGGCGGACGGGUGAGUAAUGCUUGGGAAUCUGACUUAUGGAGGGGGAUAACGACGGGAAACUGUCGCUAAUACCGCGUAGAGUCGGGAGACGAAAGUGCGGGACCGCAAGGCCGCAUGCCAUGAGAUGAGCCCAAGUGGGAUUAGGUAGUUGGUGGGGUAAAGGCCUACCAAGCCGACGAUCUCUAGCUGGUCUGAGAGGAUGACCAGCCACACCGGGACUGAGACACGGCCCGG